ensembl:snoRNA SNORD14 Small nucleolar RNA SNORD14
UCACUACAGUAAUUUCCACACAUUCACAGUUGCUACCAGCAGGGUUUUUCCUUAUUUUAGCCAGUUCUCCCUUAGAUGAGUGA